rnacentral:rRNA from 1 species
ACUAAAAACCUAGCCCAACUCAGCACGAAUUUAACUAGAUUAACUAAUCUUUUAAAAUAAACCAUUUUAGCACUCUAGUAAAGGAGAUUGAAAAACUUAUUGGAGCUUUAACAAUAGUACCGCAAGGGAACGAUGAAAUACCUAAUGAAAAAUAUUAAGUACUAAAAAGUAAAGAUGACCCCUUGUACCUUUUGCAUCAUGGUUUAACUAGUCUAACCAAGCGAAACGUAUUUAAGUUUGACUUCCCGAAACUAAGUGAGCUACUUCGGGGCAGCUAAAAGAGCAAACCCGUCUCUGUAGCAAAAGAGUGGGAUGACCCCCAAGUAGCGGUGACAGACCUAACGAACUUAGUGAUAGCUGGUUGCUCAAGAAGCGGAUUUAAGUCCAACCUGAAACUUCACAACAGUCCACCAAGACAGCCAUUUAAUUUUCAGCGCAAUUCAAAUAAGGUACAGCCUAUUUGAAACAGGAUACAACCCAGACUAAUGGAUAAGAUAAGCCCCUCCAACAACCAAGUAGGCCUAAGAGCAGCCAUCUUUAAAAUUGCGUCAAAGCUUAGUUGUUUGCAUGCCAAAUCACCCAACCACAAUCUUAAUCCUUUUCCCGUACUGAGCAAUUCUAUAAAAUUAUAGAAAGUUUUAUGUUAAAACUAGUAACAAGAAGAAGACUCUUCUCUUAAAUGUAAGUGUAAAUCAGAAAGGACAAACCACUGAUACUUAACACCUAUGAACCCAAAGUAACAACUAAUCAAGAAAACACUACUCUCUACACUGUUAACCUAACACAAGAGCAUUCUAAGAAAGAUUAAAAGAAAAAGAAGGAACUCGGCAAAUAUUAACCUCGCCUGUUUACCAAAAACAUCGCCUCUUGCCCCCCAUAAGAGGUCCAGCCUGCCCAGUGACUCUGUUCAACGGCCGCGGUAUCCUAACCGUGCGAAGGUAGCGUAAUCACUUGUUCUUUAAAUGAGGACUAGUAUGAAUGGCACCACGAAGGUUAUACUGUCUCCUUUUUCCAAUCAGUGAAACUAAUCUCCCCGUGAAGAAGCGGGGAUUAAACUAUAAGACGAGAAGACCCUAUGGAGCUUCAAACAAUGUAGCAUUUGUCUUACAACACACAAAAUUCCCGAAUAGCACGAAUUCCAGACAAUGUGACUACAAGUUUUUGGUUGGGGUGACCACGGAGAAUAACACAUCCUCCAUGUUGAAAGAAGCUUUUCUUAGCUAAGACCCACGAGUCUAAGCAUCAAUAUAUUGACAUCCAUUGACCCAAUACAUUUGAACAACGAACCAAGUUACCCUAGGGAUAACAGCGCAAUCCACUUCAAGAGCUCCUAUCGACAAGUGGGUUUACGACCUCGAUGUUGGAUCAGGGUUUCCCAGUGGUGUAGCCGCUACUA